rnacentral:lncRNA from 1 species
AUGUCCUGUCAGCAGCACUGUGGCAGGAGCAUUGGAGUCAGGAUCACAUGGUGGAAGGAGCCCUGUUGUCAGGAUCAUAUGGUGGCAGGAGCAGGAGGUUACAGGAGCACUGGUGCAGGAGCAUUGCAGCAGCAGGAGGAGGGAGUAGGAGCAGGUCAUAGCAGGAGCACUGUGGCAGGAGCACUGUGGGUAGAACAUUGGAAUCAGGAGCAUUGGAGUCAGGAUCACUGGUGGCAGGAGGACUGGUGUCAGGAGCACAGGGUGUCAGGAGCACAUGGUGGAAGGAACACAGGUCUCAGGAGCACUGGUUUUAGGCGCACUGGUUUUAGGAGCACUGAAUAUAGGAGCACGGGAGUCAGGUGCACAAGGUGACAGGAGCAUCUGUUUGCAGGAGCACGGUGUGCCAGGAACACUCAUGUCAGGAGCUGGCCGUGGCUGAUCUUAUUGUCUGCAGUGAGGAAAGGGAGACAGAGAAACAAUGGUGACCUGCAUGCUUUCCUUUCCCAGCCUCUGGCAUGGUGCUACCCAAUUCAGUGUUGGUCUUCCUCUUCAAUUAACCCCUGUAGAAACACCCUCCCAGGCACAGCAAGAUGUCCUUUAGAUGGCUCCAAUUCCCAUUAAGGUCACUAUCAAGAUUCACCACAACACAGGCUCUCUGGGAACCCAGGAUGGGCAUCUCAGCUCUGGCCGAUGGUCCAGACCUACUGCUCUUUGUCUCCUGUCUUAGAAGGGAGGUUCCAGAAGCUCUCUGACUGCAUGGGCCACGAAGGGCUCUACAACACGCUGGCCCGUUUUCCUCUCUGAUGGUUUCUUAGUUAGGUGUUUCAUUGCUGUGAAGAGACACCAUGACCAAGGCAACUCUUAUAAAUGAAAAUAUAUAAUUGGGGC